rnacentral:rRNA from 1 species
UAAAAAUGUAAAUUWUAAAAAUUAAAAUUAUUAGAAGUUAAGGUCUUUAAAAUUAAAAAUUAUGGCGGUAUUUUAGUCUUUUCAGAGGAACCUGUUUUUUAAUUGAUAAUCCACGAUAAAUUGUACUUUUUUUAAAAAUUUAUAUAUCGUCGUAUUAAGAAUAUUUUAAAAGAAAAUAAAUAUUCGAAAUUUUUUAUUAAAAAAUAAUUCAGAUCAAGGUGUAGUAAUAAAAAAGUUAAAAUGGGUUACAAUAAAAUUAUUUUUGGAUUUUAAAUUGAAAUAUUUUUAUUAAAUUGGAUUUGAAAGUAAUUUUUUUUUAUUAUUAAAAAUGAUUUAGCUCUAAAAUAUGC